rnacentral:lncRNA from 1 species
UAUAUUAAUAAUCUCCAAGUGUUAUUUCUCUCAUUUAGUCUAUCCAAUUGCAUGGUGCCAUGCAACCCAAAUGGACCAUGCCGGGUCGGGUCAAGUACAAGCCCGAAAUAGUUAUGGACUUAGACACCUUAUCCAACAGUCUCCCACUUGGAUAAGUCUAAUAACUAUAUCUCUAGUACUUCAGGAACCGACCGGCAAUCGUAGCUCUUUCAAGGUCUCUCGGAACUGAGAAGAUGAUGGUACGCCAUUUAAGAUAAGUGAUCAUAUAAUCCUCCGUUCUAGAUAUCAGCCGGACAAAUACAUGGAACAUUGUCUUGCUUAUUGUCCAGCAUUUGUUUCCCGAUUUCCGAUUUGUUUGACAUAGAACUUAAUUGAACACAUCAACUUAGUUCUGACCGGGCCCGGUACAUGGGUCAAAACAAAAUCAUCGAGGGGCCCAGAUAUCAGCUUCUAAUCCAAGAAGGAACAGAUAAACUUCGACUCAUAUGUUUGUUCUACCACUCAUUGAAUUACACACAAAAGUACGUUUUAUAACAUCGAGUUACCAAUGCGGUUUCGUACAGUCAAUGCAUAACCAACUUGUAAGUAACAAAUCAUAUCUCUAGGUUUGAAGACUUAUAUGAUAUUACCGUCUCACGAUCACUCGAGAUAGAAUUCCAUGAAGUGAUUCCAGUGAGCGUGGGUUGAGUCCAAUGCUCAGAACUUAUGAGCACUCAUGAUUGUUGUAGCCUUGUCCAACACCUUAGACCUCUACAACCCAUCAUGACAGUCUUGAUUCAUACCUACUUCCGACAUAUGACCGACUGUGGAGGUUUGAAUAAUAUGUUACACCAAACAAAAUUAUUCUGGAAGUCAAAACAUGCAAAAGAAAUAUAGUAAACGAUUGACAAGAGAUAGCAACACUUUACUCAUAAAUAAAACACCUUUUAUUCAUCAUCAAAUGUCAAUUACACUUUACAAAUUUCUGGGUUAUCUAACUACUAAAACUUAUAUCAUCCUUCAGCCCUAUGCUCCGAGCAUGCUGGAGAUGCUUAACCCUACUCAGUCCCUUCGUGAGGGGAUCUGCUGGGUUCUCAUCCGAUGAUACCCUCUUUGCCACGAGGAGUCCUUCUUCGAUCCGAUGUCUAAUGAAAUGGUAUUUUCUGUCGAUGUGUCUGGAUCUCCCAUGAUCCCUUGGUUCCUUGGCUAAGGCAACAGCACUUUCACUAUCACAGAAAAUUUCCAUUGGCUCUUUAAUAGCUGGUACAACUCCAAGGUCUCCAAUGAAGUUCUUCAGCCAUAUCGCCUCCUUUGCUGCUUCGCUAGCUGCAAUAUACUCUGAUUCACAAGUAGAAUCUGCCACUGUCUCUUGCUUGGAACUCUUCCAAGAAAUUGCUCCUCCGUUUAGGGUAAAGACCCAGCCCGACUGAGAGCGGAAAUUAUCCCUAUCAGUCUGGAAGCUAGCAUCACUAUACCCUACAACUCUCAAGUCAUCACUCCCACCGAGGGUAAGGACCCAGUCCUUAGUCCUCCGUAGGUACUUGAGGAUAUUCUUUACCGCAGUCCAGUGUGCCUUGCCAGGGUUCGCCUGAUACCUGCUAACCAUGCUCAAGGCAAAAGCUACAUCGGGUCGAGUACACGUCAUAGCAUACAUGAUCGAUCCUACAGCCGAAGCGUAAGGUGUUCGACUCAUUUCUGCUAUCUCAGCCUCAGUGCUAGGGCUUUGUGUCUUACUCAAUCUGGUGUUACUCUGGAUGGGUAACUCUCCUUUCUUGGAAUCCUGCAUGCUGAAUCUCUUCAGCACCUUAUCCAAGUAGGUACUCUGACUAAGUCCAAUUAGUCUUUUACUCCGAUCUCUCAAGAUUCUUAUCCCUAGAAUAUAGGCAGCUUCACCAAGGUCCUUCAUAGCGAAACACUUCCCAAGCCAGGACUUUACUUCCUGCAGGGUUGGAAUGUCGUUUCCUAUGAGUAGUAUGUCAUCCACAUACAAUACCAAAAAGCUAACUAUACUCCCACUAGCCUUGACAUACACACAAGAUUCAUCUUCACUCCUAGAAAAGCCAAAUUCCUUGACCUUUUCAUCAAAGCAAAGAUUCCAUCUGCGAGGUGCUUGCUUCAAUCCAUAAAUGGAUUUCUCAAGCUUACACACUCUAUUAGGGUACUCGUUGCUGACAAAACCCUCUGGCUGACUCAUGUAAACAUCUUCAGCCAACUUUCCAUUAAGGAAAGCGGUUUUGACAUCCAUCUGCCAUAUUUCAUAGUCAUGAAAUGCAGCUAUGGCUAACAGAACCCGAAUAGACUUAAUCUUGGCUACCGGAGAAAAGGUCUCAUCAUAAUCCACUCCAGGAAUUUGAGAGAAGCCCUUUGCAACCAGUCUAGCCUUAUAAGUGUGUACUUUACCAUCCAUGUCGGUCUUCUUCUUGAAGACCCAUUUGCACCCUACUGUCUUACGACCUGGUACAUUUUCAACCAAGUUCCAAACUUGAUUGUCAUACAUGGAUUGUAUCUCGCUAUCCAUAGCCUCUUUCCAUUUAGCAGACUCGGGGCCUGCCAUGGCUUCCUCGUAGCUGUUAGGGUCAUCUUGACUUACUAGUGUCUCAUCACUAAUAAGUGUCUCACCUUCUGCAGUAAUAUGGAAUCCAUAGUAAUGCUCAGGUGCACUCCUAACUCUCGUGGAACGUCUCAGAGGUACAGAUUUGUCAAUUGGCUCAACAGGAGUUUCCUCCUCAAGUUGAGGGCUAGAGUUUGAAGUUCCUUCACCGCUUGAUUCUUGAAUUUCUUCAAGAUCAAUUUGCCUCCCACUGUCUCCUUGGCUUAUAAACUCUCUUUCUCGAAAGACUCCUCUUCUUGCUACAAAGACCACAUUGUCACUAGGUCUGUAGAAGAGGUAACCAAAGGAUCGCUGUGGGUAACCGAUGAAAAUACACCUCUCGCUUCGAGGUUCGAGCUUAUCAUGAGUCUCGCGUCUCACGAAAGCCUCGCAACCCCAAAUCUUGAUGUGGUCUAGUUUAGGUACUUUACCAGUCCACAUCUCGUGAGGAGUUUUGGCAACUUUCUUUGUAGGGACUAGAUUAAGAAUAUGGGCGGCAGUCUCUAAGGCAUACCCCCAGAAUGAGAUUGGUAGCGUAGCUCGACUCAUCAUGGAACGAACCAUAUCUAACAAGGUUCGAUUACGCCUCUCAGCCACACCAUUCAACUGUGGUGUCCUGGGAGGUGUCAAUUGUGAGACUAUCCCACAUUCCCUUAGAUAGUCGAGGAACUCUGAACUAAGAUACUCACCACCACGAUCGGAUCGAAGCAUCUUAAUGUUCCUGCCCAAUUGAUUCUCGACUUCCUGUUUAAAUUCCUUAAACCUCUCGAAAGUCUCUGACUUAUGCUUGAUCAAGUAGACAUAUCCAUAUCUACUAUAAUCAUCAGUAAAAGUCAAAUAAUAACGAUUAGCAUCCCUUGUGGCAUGUUUGAAUGGUCCACACACAUCCGUGUGUAUAAGGUCCAACAAACCUUCACCCCUCUCACACGAACCUGUGAAGGGUGACUUUGUCAUUUUUCCAAGUAAGCAUGAUUCGCAACUAUCAUCUGACUUUAGGUCAAACGACUCCAAGACUCCAUCCUUUUGGAGUUGGCCUAUGCGUUUCUUGCUUAUAUGUCCAAGACGACAAUGCCAUAAAGAUGCUUUAUCCAAGUUAUUAUUAGUAGAAUCAAUACACAAAACAUUAUUUCCCAAGUUAUCUACAACAGAUACAGCUUCAUACACACCAUCACAAGGUAAUGCUUUAAAAUAAAAGACAUUAUUAUAGAAAACAUCUAUAGAACCAACUUCAUUAUUAAAUGAAAAGGUAAACCCUUGUUUGUACAAAGCAUGAAAGGAAAUAAUAUUUCUUGCCAUUCCUGGCGAAUAACAACACUUAUUCAAAUCUAAACUAAACCCACUACUUAGCGAUAAAGUAUAAACUCCAAUCUUGGUAACAGGUAUAGCUUUCCUAUUCCCCAUGAUCAAGUUUAUCCUUCCUUGCUCCACAUCCUCACUUCUUCUUAGUCCCUGCAAGUCACAACAAAUGUGAAUACCACACCCGGUAUCAAGGACCCAAGAAUUAGAAUGGGGUGAGUUAUUAGAAAUGAUAGUGUAAAUACCUGCAUGGUUGGGUUUAACUUUCCCAUCCUUCACAUCUUGCUGGUAUUUUGGGCAGUUCCGCUUCCAAUGAGCUUUUUCAUGGCAAUAGAAGCAUUCAGCCUCUUUUGGGUCAGAAGAAGGAGUAAUGAAACCUUUCUUGGUUCCACUUGAAGAAGAGCCAUCAAGGGUCCGAACCUUGGUACCCUUAGAAGAGCUCUUUCUCUUCCUCCCUCGACUUUUCCCGAUUGCCAAAACCGGAGUAGAGUUUUGAGUAGGAGUGAUAGCAACCGACUUCCCCUUAAGACCUGAUUCUGCGGUCUUGAGAAGUCCCUGAAGUUUGCUGAGGGUGACUUCUUCCUUGUUCAUGUGAUAUGUCAUGCGGAAUUGAUCAUAGCACGAUGGUAAGGAAUGCAAAAUAAUAUCUAUUGCAAGAUCCUCCGGGAAGUUCACAUUAAGCUUCAGCAAACGAUCCACAUACCUUUGCAUUUUCUGCAUGUGGCUCGUGACGGAUUCCCCGUCCUUCAUCAUGGUUGUUAUCAUGGAGCAGAUGAUUUCAUACCUCUCUUGUCUUGCACUUUGAUGGUAUCUUUCCAUCAAAUCUUGGUGCAUUUCAUAAGGGUAGAAAUCCUCAUAAGACUUUUGGAGUUCCGCUGUCAUCGUGGCCAUCAUGAUGCAAGCCACUUUCGUAGCAUCCCUUUCAUGUGCCCGAAAUUCAGCGAUCUCCUGAGGAGUUGCAGUGGACUCAUCAAUCUCCUUAAGCUCCUUGUCAAGGACAUAUUCUUUGUCCUCGUAGCGGGUAAUCAUCCUGAUGUUUCUGAUCCACUCAUUGAAGUUGGAUCCAUCAAAGGUGACUUUCCCACACAAGUUCAUAAGGGUAAAGGAGCCAUUAGGAUUAGAGCCAGAAGCAUUGUUGAAAGACAUCUGAAGGAAAGAGGACAAGAUUAGUUUAGAUAUAAGAGAGUCCUUAAUAAAACACCCAAAUGUAAUAUUAAGGCUAGGAUCCAAUCACAAUAUAAUAUAACUUAGAAGAGGUAUGCCGUAAUCUAAGCUAUAUCAUAUUUGAAAGGUAGGUGAAUGACGAUUCACCAAUUUCCACCACGAAAACCGCAAUAUUUUAGUAUUAGGUUUUUGAAUGGUUCUUAGAAAUUCCUAGAUUCUUUGAGAUUCAAUGAACUUUUCAAAGGCAUGUUUCAAUCUCGAGUGUGCCCUCCAAGUUUUGUGACUGGGAUACCGAGGAUCACAAAACGAGGUGUGAAGUAACCAUGCAAAUCACUUGGUACCCUUAAAGUUUAUCACUCAAUCGAUGUGCCGGUUAACCACACACGCUCCAUCGAUACUAUAAUAAACCCUAAGUCACCCUUUACCUACCUUGUUAAGUCCAAGUUAGUGUGCCGGUUAACCACACACGCUCCACCAACGACUUAAUCAAAGUGUAAAGUGUAAUUUCAUGGAAUAGCACCUUAUUCACAUUUUUCCUAAAGUAACUAAGAUUGGGAAUUUAAUAAAACAUUUAGUUACUUUAUAAUAUUCAUCAUACUUUGAAUGAGAAUUAAUAAGUCCUUGUCUUACCCGUUCGGCUAACGACCCUCCACCGAUCAAGCAAGCGGUGGGUGAGAGUGGACACCCAUUAAGUCACCAUUUUAUAGGCAACAACCUUAUACCCACCUUAUAGACCGGCUUCGUGAAUGAGGCGUACUAGCGGUAAGACGACUUUGUUCUUAUACAUAUAUAUAUAAUUAUUAAAUCAUAAUAAUAUAAGUAUAAGGGUUGAAUUUUAACUUUUAAAAUUCUAGGGGUUGGAACUAAAGUUUUAACUUAACUUUACUUGUUCCAAAACUUGAGGGCAAGUUUUGUAAACUUUCAAAACUUUUCAUUUCUUGUAACUUAUGAGUUUAAUAGAGUAAUAAAAUGAGGACUUUUCAUUUUUCCUAACUCUUGUGUUCUUUUAAUGGUUUUUAAUCCAAGAGACUUUUGGUUUUCCAUAACUUGAGGACAAGUUAUGGACUCCAUUAAAACACAUUAUGAUCAUGAAUUAAUCUACCACAUAGGUUACAAAUAAUUCCUAUGAUCAUCUAAACAUCAUAAGAACAAGAAUAUGAAUAUGAACACUUUCAAGAAUCAAAAUCACAUUUAAUCUUUGUAAUUUUGAUAACUAGUUGUUGUAAAUGAGUUAGAAAAGACAUUACACCUUCUAAAAUAAGUUUUCAAGUACCAAAACAUUUUAGGGUAAUGAUUCUAAUCCAUUUCCAGCAACACAAGUCGAAAUUCUGCACUCUGUCGACCCUACUCGCCGAGUGCAUAAACCUACUCGCCGAGUAGGUUGAAGAUACACAUGAACUCGUCGAGUCCUCCCCAUGGACUCGCCGAGUCCAUCAGUCAGACAGCAAGAUUUUCGACUUUCUUCAACUUUUAAGCACAAAUAACAAACAAACAAGCCUAGGCUCUGAUACCACUGAUGGGUUUUGAGCAUUCUAACACUUCCUAAGUGUACAUGCAACCCUAAUAACCUUGGAUCUAUGUUUGUCUAAUUAUCAUGCAAAGUUGAAUUCCAAGGUUAUAUUCCUAUCUAGCAUACAUGGGGAACAAUUUUAACUUGAAUGAAAGAUAGAAUAACUUACCUUGUUGUUGCUUAUGUUCCUUGAAACCUUGUGAGCCUAGCACCCCAAGUGUGAUGCCUCAAAUGCUUCACACAACACCAAAUGCUCUUGGAAAGACUUUUGAGAGAAUACACACUUCUUGAAAUCGGCCUAGCCCUCUUGUUUCAUAUGUGUAGCCGAUUUUGGUGGAGAAUGGGAUUCUUAUAUAGGUUGACACAUCUAAGGGUUACACCAUGUAAACCCUAAUGUGUCAUGACUCUUCAUUUCCAUGACCCAUGGGUUUGUAACUCCCAUGGAGCAUCCAUGGAGCAUCCUAUGGGUGGAACCCAACUUGAUGAUCCAUGGAGCCUCUUAGCCCACUAUACAAGUUAUGAAUGAUUUACAUAAUCAACCCAUAUAUUUAAUUAGUUAUCCUUUGAUCACUUAAUUAAUUCUAAAUUAAUUCUUGAUCAAACUAAUCAAAUAAUAUUAUUAAUAUAUUAGAACUUAUAAUAUAUUAAUAAUCUCCAAGUGUUAUUUCUCUCAUUUAGUCUAUCCAAUUGCAUGGUGCCAUGCAACCCAAAUGGACCAUGCCAGGUCGGGUCAAGUACUUACCCGAAAUAGUUAUGGACUUAGACACCUUAUCCAAAAAUGGCAUCGUGUGGAAAUGAAUUGGGAUUAGCAUCUUGCAAUUCAUGUAUACAUCAUGUAGGAUGACAUUGCAUGGGAAUGGAUCGGGCUUAGCAUGCGGCGAUGUUGAAUACAUCACGUGGAAUGGCAUUGUGUGGAAAUGGAUUGGGCUUAGGGUGUGAGCCAUCAAGCCUUGUUCGUUGAGCACAUCAUGAUAGUGGGGUUAGGAUGAGGGGCCAAGAGACUCAAGGUAAGGGCUGUGAAC